GGAUUCCUGGCAGAGUGAUUUGGCUGUGAUGUAAUGUAAAUCACAUUGCCAGGGAUUUCCA
rnacentral:pre_miRNA from 1 species